GCAUAUCAAUAAGCGGAGGAAAAGAAACUAACAAGGAUUCCCCUAGUAACUGCGAGUGAAGCGGGAAAAGCUCAAAUUUUGAAUCUGGCGGUCUUUGCAGACCGUCCGAGUUGUAAUCUAGAGAAGCGUCUUCCGCGCCGGCCCGUGUACAAGUCUCCUGGAAGGGAGCGUCUUAGAGGGUGAGAAUCCCGUCUCUGACACGGACCACCGGGGCUAUGUGAUGCGCUCUCGACGAGUCGAGUUGUUUGGGAAUGCAGCUCAAAAAGGGUGGUAAACUCCAUCUAAAGCUAAAUAUUGGCGAGAGACCGAUAGCGAACAAGUACCGUGAGG
rnacentral:rRNA from 1 species